GUCAUAGGUGUCACACUUGUAAAAUUUGCUUGCAAAGUUAGAGUAGUAAAUGUUUCAAUAGUGUAAAGUUAUCUUCGUUGUUCAGUAUUUAAGUAACACUUCUUGUUUAUGCAGAGGAAGAGUAAAACAAAUUUAUAUAGUAAAACUGCAAGAAUAAAGAAUGUUUCGCAGCAGAAGUUGGUUUGGUGGUGGCUGGAAUCGUCCUAAAAAUCGACUCUCACUAGACCAUCUGAAAUACCUGUAUAGCGUUCUUGAGCGCAACACUACAGUGUCAGAAAGUAAUCGAGGAUUGUUAGUAGAGUCACUCCGCAGCAUCGCAGAAAUUUUGAUCUGGGGCGAUCAAAACGAUUCAUCUGUUUUCGAUUUCUUUUUAGAGAAGAACAUGUUAUCAUACUUUUUAAACAUCAUGCGACAGAAAAGCGGAGGAUCAAGUUUUGUAUGUGUUCAGCUGCUUCAGACGUUGAAUAUUUUGUUUGAAAAUAUUCGCAAUGAGACCUCUCUCUAUUAUUUACUAAGCAACAACCUUGUUAAUUCCAUAAUCGUUCACAAAUUCGACUUCUCUGACGAAGACGUAAUGGGCUACUACAUCCUGUUUUUAAAAACUCUCAGUUUGAAGUUGAACACUCAUACAAUACAUUUCUUUUAUAAUGAACAUACGAAUGAUUUUCCGCUGUAUACGGAAGCGAUAAAGUUUUUUAAUCAUCCAGAGUCGAUGGUACGGAUUGCAGUCCGUACUAUCACGUUGAAUGUGUACAAAGUGCAAAACCCAAACAUGUUGCAGUUUAUUCGAGACAAAACUGCAGCUCCAUACUUUAGUAAUCUGGUUUGGUUUAUUGGCAAGCAUAUAUUGGAACUCGAUGCAUGCGUCCGUAACGAUAUAGAUCAUCAAUCACAGCAUCGUUUAGCCAAUUUGGUAGCUGAACAUUUAGACCACUUGCAUUAUUUAAAUGAUAUACUCUGCUUGGAUAUAGCAGACCUUAAUGCGGUUCUUACUGAACAUUUACUACACAAGUUGCUGGUUCCACUGUACAUAUUCUCUCUAACACCAUCUCCACCCAUCUCAAUGGCGUUAGUAACGAGGAAUUUAGCAGCGGUACUAAAUAAAGUAGUCGAUAUUGACAUUAAGGAAAUGAACAACCCUCGUGUAUCCAGUGUUGUAGCACUGUUUCUAUUGUCCCUCGUUUUUCUUGUGGUUACCCACCGACCGCUGAUCAACGCACUUACGUGGGUAAUUUUAAACGCUGACCAUACUGUAUUCAAAGAGGGAGCAUCUCGAAUAUUGAAUGCUUAUAUCGACAAUCGUGAAGUGGUAGCACUUGGUUUUGUUCAACCAGUUGAAAGUCUAGAAGAAGCAUUGGAAAGUUCAGCUGCGUCAUCAAGUUCUUACAAUUACGACCAAAGUGUGGAUGAUGCCAACAGUAGCAGUAGCACAUCAACCACCAACGAACCGCAAAUAUCAGAUUCUCCGAGUCCUCCUACGCUCUCAGAUGAGAUGGAGAAAGUGAAUAUUACAGACGAAGAAAAGGAAAAGCUUCUGCUCAAUGCAUAUCGAACCCCUGAAUUCAAUAGACCUUUUCUCGAUAUGGUAUUGUCGUCACUGGAUUGCGCUGAAAAUGAUUACCUUGCUUUACUGGCUCUUUGUCUAUUGUAUGCACUAGCGAACAACAAAGGUGUGAAUGCCGAAUGGUUAGAUAUUGUAUUGAACAAAUCAUCGCCAACCGGAAGCUCCAAGUACAAUUUAAUUUUGCUGGAAAAGCUGCUCCAAAUUGUCACGCUCUCCAAUCAGCCAUCCUGUCGGAUCCGUUUGGUUACCAUUGAGCUAACCUUGAAACUGUUCUGUCAGAUUAUCGGGACCGGUACCACUAAUAUAAAUAUUUGCGAACAGCACAGAAACUCUUUGUUCUCUGCGCGAAAUCAGAGCAUGACUGUGUUAAGAAAUUUCUACAAAUCUGAAGACAUUUUUCUGGAUCUUUUUGAGGAUGAAUACAACGAAAUGGUGAAAAGUUCUUUAAAUGUAGAGUUCUUGUGCAACGAUUCAACUAUUUUACUUCCCCCGACUGGAACUCCAUUGACGGGAAUAGGUUUUACUCGGCGAUUGCCAUGUGGUGAAGUAGAAAAGGCGCGUCGUGCGAUUCGAGUGUUUUUCUUGCUCAGAAGGACGUGUCAAAGUAUUACAGGAGAAAGGGAACUGCUGCUUCCUCUCACAAACCUAAGCCAAUGUGUCCAGGUUGAUAACGCUCUAGAUUUAAACAACAGCGAUCUAAUAGCUUGCACUGUGGUGAUGCGCGAUGGUACUAAAUACCGCCGGUUUCUUGUGAUGGAUAUUCUUCAACUUAUUCUAGUUGAACCGGAUAGCAAAAGGUUAGGUUGGGGUGUUGCCAAGUUCGUUGGGUUUUUACAAGAUGUCGAAGUAAACGGUGAUAAAGAAGACUCUAGAAGUUUACACUUGACAAUACAUCGAGGCGGAGCCACUAACAACCGUACUCCUAUUCUGUCAGCAAAAUUUAUGUUUGACGACCAUAUUCGUUGCAUGGCAGCAAAACAACGUUUGACAAAAGGACGUAGUAAAGCACGUCAGAAGAAAAUGUUUCAAAUCGCUCAGUUGUUGGAAAUCCCGGGUCAAAUGAACGAACCAUCGUUUCCUCUUCUUGGAUCGGCUGGGUCAUCGAUGCCGCGUUCGUUGCUCAGAUCAGCCGGUGGACGACAACCAAGGGAACAUCGCCCACUUUUUUCCACAUCGAACCGGGUACCAGGUUUAGCAACAGCUCUUAGAAGGGAAAGCAUGCCCUCCGGAAGUGUUAGCCGAGUACAAAUUAACUCUAGCCGUUCUAUUGAUGGUGAAGUUACCGGAGCCCGCAGGAAAAGCAACCAUCCAUCACGCCGAGAGAGUAGUCAGCCAAUAGCUGUUACCACAACAAAACCACGCGAUUCUUCCCAUAAUCGAUCAAUUACUCCAAGAUCUCGCGAACCCAGUCCUCGUGUUCCAAGGCCACGUUCAGAGGAAAUUCCUUUAGAAGAUUUUUGUAACUCUCAAAAUUCCAGCCCAGUCUCACGUGGUUCGUCGAAUGCAGCUUCUCGUUCCCAUACACCAUCGCGCUUAAGUCUUGAACCAUCGAUUUGCGCAAUGCCGAAUAAUGGACAAACUAGUGGAAAUAACGCCGCUCCAAAAGAAACAGUUAUUCCCUCUGUAAUAUCUGUAGCUACAGUUCCAGCGAGCAUUACUGUUCCUGUUGAAUUGAGUCCCACUUCAGAAGAGACAUCAUUUAUAGCCAAUGAGGAACGGCAAAAGAAGCGGGGUGCAAUCGAGACUGUUUAACUUUGUUUGCAUAUUACAUUUUUGUUUGCUAGACCAAGUGUUGUAGGUUAGUUAUCAUUCUGUUUCAGGACUACGUGGAAUUUUAUUUUCAGGCUGCGAAAUAAAAUAUAUGUAGCGAAAUAAACGUUUUAUUUUUGUUACAUUAUUGGUCACCUUGGUCAUCUGUAGGAACUUAAAAUUAAAAUGUCAGUCAUGGGAGCAGGUUUGCAUGGUUUUAAAAUGAUCGAUUUGCCACAUUUUUUACACUCUGUAUUUUAAAACCGUCCGGCUUGCUGUAGCGGAAAUUUUUUCAUCUAAUUUACACUUCCAGUAAGUUGAAAUGAAUUAGUAAUCGUUUAUUCUUGUCAGCAAUAUUCAAAGCUGAAUAAAUACAACUGCGCACAAAAUAAAAAUGUACGUCACUCAGAAAAUGGUUUGGAAAGAUCGCAAUGCCAUCAGUGUGGAGAGAACAAUAUACACCGACUUCAAUAGAUAUAUUCUUGCAAACAUAACAGGCAACAGGUGGUUUCGAUUUUCCUGCAG